GUGCCUGUCACCUAAAAUCACUACAAGAGAUGAUAAAUUCUAUAAAAUUGUAACAUGCAGCUUAAUUGUGCCUAGACUUGUCUAUAGUAGUAGAGGGGGCAGUUGAUUAUAACUAAUACGUCAAAAUUUGUAUAUAUCUCUAGUAAGUCUUCAAGUCAAUGUGACAUUUAGAAGUUGCUGAUGAAGGUAAAAAGUAAAAAAAAACAAAAAAACAGUUGAGAUCCACUGAUCUAUGGCCUAUGAUCUGAACCACAGAGGGUUAUUCACUAUAUAACCCCAAAGUAGCCAAACUGAAAUCACAUCUGACUUAGUUAAG